rnacentral:lncRNA from 11 species
CUACCACAUGCAAAGCAGAAAGCAGAUGGUAUAGCUGAUAUAGAUCACAGGAACACUGUCUGCAUUUUUGAAGAAGAUGUUGUUGGAGAUGAAAAAGAAGGUGAGAGUUGUAAGACACAGAAAAAAUGAAAGCAAAAAGAGGAGGCAAGAAGAAAGAAGAAAGUGGUGAAAUAUUCAAGUGGAAGCUGUACUUCUUGUAUGAGGAGUUAGGUGUACACUCUGGACACCGCUUUUUGGCACUGCCGGGACACUGCCGGCACAGAGCCCAACAGAGCCCCG